AGAGAGGUUAAUCACCUGCCCCGGGGCACCCAGCCUGGACGGGGUAGGGCUGGGACUGGAACCCAGGACUCUGCCCAGGCAGGUCUGUGCUGAAGCAGGAGGUCGGAGGUUGGGGGGACUCACCUGCCUGUACCUGGUCCCUUGGGCCCUGACACAGCCCUGGAAGAGAGUCCCUCCUCACUCUGCUCUCCCUGAAGGAUGGCUGAGGACACAGCAGGUCCCAGGACCUUCAGGACCAGAUGUGAGUGUCAGCAGACCCCCCAUGCUCUGCC